rnacentral:rRNA from 1 species
GGGCACUAGACGCGGGGGGGAUCGACCCUCUCCGUGUCGAAGCUAACGCGAUAAGUGCCCCGCCUGGGGAGUACGGCCGCAAGGCUGAAACUCAAAGGAAUUGACGGGGGCCCGCACAAGCGGUGGAGCAUGUGGUUUAAUUCGAAGCAACGCGAAGAACCUUACCUGGGCUUGACAUCUUAGAGAAAUCCUCGUGAAAGCGGGGACCUCCUUCGGGACUCUAGGACAGGUGCUGCAUGGCUGUCGUCAG